AGGAAAUAAAAAAUAAAAAAAAAAUAAAAAUUAUAUUUUAUCCGUAUAGAUACACAUUUUAUUAUAAUAUAAUAAUAUAUACUCGUACUUGUAUACAAUGUACGUGUGUGUGUGUGUGUAUGUGUGUGUGUGCACGACAUACUACGUGGACCCGAUUUAGAUGCUGUUCGCGACGGGCGGCCUUCCCC